rnacentral:rRNA from 1 species
CGCGGCCUAUCAGCUUGUUGGUGAGGUAACGGCUCACCAAGGCAUCGACGGGUAGCUGGUCUGAGAGGACGAUCAGCCACACUGGGACUGAGACACGGCCCAGACUCCUACGGGAGGCAGCAGCAGGGAAUAUUGCGCAAUGGGCGAAAGCCUGACGCAGCGACACCGCGUGAAGGAUGGAGGCCCUCGGGUUGUAAACUUCUUUCAGUGGGGAAGAAGCGAAAGUGACGGUACCCACAGAAGAAGCCCCGGCCAACUACGUGCCAGCAGCCGCGGUAAUACGUAGGGGGCAAGCGUUGUCCGGAUUCAUUGGGCGUAAAGAGCUCGUAGGCGGCUUGGCAAGUCGGUCGUGAAAUACCGAGGCUCAACCUCGGAACGCCGAUCGAAACUGCCAUGGCUAGGGUCCGAUAGAGGAGAGUGGAAUUCCCGGUGUAGCGGUGAAAUGCGCAGAUAUCGGGAGGAACACCAGUAGCGAAGGCGGCUCUCUGGGCCGGCACCGACGCUGAGGAGCGAAAGCUAGGGGAGCAAACAGGAUUAGAUACCCUGGUAGCCCUAGCCGUAAACGAUGGGUACUAGGUGUGGCGGAUUCAUUGACAUCUGCCGUGCCGAAGCUAACGCAUUAAGUACCCCGCCUGGGGAGUACGG